CUGGAGGUAUCAGAAGUGCGAAUGCUGACAUAAGUAACGAUAAAGCGGGUGAAAAGCCCGCUCGCCGGAAGACCAAGGGUUCCUGUCCAACGUUAAUCGGGGCAGGGUGAGUCGACCCCUAAGGCGAGGCCGAAAGGCGUAGUCGAUGGGAAACAGGUUAAUAUUCCUGUACUUGGUGUUACUGCGAAGGGGGGACGGAGAAGGCUAUGUUGGCCGGGCGACGGUUGUCCCGGUUUAAGCGUGUAGGCUGGUUUUCCAGGCAAAUCCGGAAAAUCAAGGCUGAGGCGUGAUGACGAGGCACUACGGUGCUGAAGCAACAAAUGCCCUGCUUCCAGGAAAAGCCUCUAAGCAUCAGGUAACAUCAAAUCGUACCCCAAACCGACACAGGUGGUCAGGUAGAGAAUACCAAGGCGCUUGAGAGAACUCGGGUGAAGGAACUAGGCAAAAUGGUGCCGUAACUUCGGGAGAAGGCACGCUGAUAUGUAGGUGAGGUCCCUCGCGGAUGGAGCUGAAAUCAGUCGAAGAUACCAGCUGGCUGCAACUGUUUAUUAAAAACACAGCACUGUGCAAACACGAAAGUGGACGUAUACGGUGUGACGCCUGCCCGGUGCCGGAAGGUUAAUUGAUGGGGUCAGCGCAAGCGAAGCUCUUGAUCGAAGCCCCGGUAAACGGCGGCCGUAACUAUAACGGUCCUAAGGUAGCGAAAUUCCUUGUCGGGUAAGUUCCGACCUGCACGAAUGGCGUAAUGAUGGCCAGGCUGUCUCCACCCGAGACUCAGUGAAAUUGAACUCGCUGUGAAGAUGCAGUGUACCCGCGGCAAGACGGAAAGACCCCGUGAACCUUUACUAUAGCUUGACACUGAACAUUGAGCCUUGAUGUGUAGGAUAGGUGGGAGGCUUUGAAGUGUGGACGCCAGUCUGCAUGGAGCCGACCUUGAAAUACCACCCUUUAAUGUUUGAUGUUCUAACGUUGACCCGUAAUCCGGGUUGCGGACAGUGUCUGGUGGGUAGUUUGACUGGGGCGGUCUCCUCCUAAAGAGUAACGGAGGAGCACGAAGGUUGGCUAAUCCUGGUCGGACAUCAGGAGGUUAGUGCAAUGGCAUAAGCCAGCUUGACUGCGAGCGUGACGGCGCGAGCAGGUGCGAAAGCAGGUCAUAGUGAUCCGGUGGUUCUGAAUGGAAGGGCCAUCGCUCAACGGAUAAAAGGUACUCCGGGGAUAACAGGCUGAUACCGCCCAAGAGUUCAUAUCGACGGCGGUGUUUGGCACCUCGAUGUCGGCUCAUCACAUCCUGGGGCUGAAGUAGGUCCCAAGGGUAUGGCUGUUCGCCAUUUAAAGUGGUACGCGAGCUGGGUUUAGAACGUCGUGAGACAGUUCGGUCCCUAUCUGCCGUGGGCGCUGGAGAACUGAGGGGGGCUGCUCCUAGUACGAGAGGACCGGAGUGGACGCAUCACUGGUGUUCGGGUUGUCAUGCCAAUGGCACUGCCCGGUAGCUAAAUGCGGAAGAGAUAAGUGCUGAAAGCAUCUAAGCACGAAACUUGCCCCGAGAUGAGUUCUCCCUGACCCUUUAAGGGUCCUGAAGGAACGUUGAAGACGACGACGUUGAUAGGCCGGGUGUGUAAGCGCA
rnacentral:rRNA from 1 species